AUUGCACGCUGGCGGCAGGCCUAACACAUGCAAGUCGAGCGAGUGGCGGACGUGUGAGUAAUGUAUGGGGACUGCCCGAUAGAGGGGGAUCACUACUCGAAACGGUGGCUAAUACCGCAUACUAUCGGAUAACCCAUAUGGGAUUAGCUAGUAGGUGGGGUAAAGGCUCACCUAGGCGACGAUCUCUAGCUGGUCUGAGAGGAUGAUCAUCCACACUGGGAGUGAGACACGGCCUAGACUCCUACGGAGGCAGCAGUGGGGAAUAUUGCACAAUGGGCGCAAUCCUGAUGCAGCCAUGCCGCGUGUAUGAAGAAGGCCUUAGGGUUGUAAAGUACUUUCGGCGGGGAGGCGUUAUCCGCAGAAGAAGCACCGGCUAACUCCGUGCCAGCAGCCGCGGUAAUAC
rnacentral:rRNA from 1 species